AGAGAAGUCUAAAAAAAUAAAAGCUUCGAGAUCUGUAGAAACAGAAUCAAAGCUUGUUUCACAGCUGAUGAACACGAGCUCCAAAAUUCGUCAUGGAAUCAUCUUCGGAUCUGAAAUCAAAUGAUGAUGAUGAAGUGGGUUUUCUUUUCUUUGGAAAUUUGAUUUGAAAUCGAAGAAACUUUUGGAGAUUGCAGGUGAAGAAAGAUAUCAAAAGGAGCUCAAAAUUAGCCUUAAACGCACCUACUCACAUACCUGAAACUGUACGUCAACUGUUCUAUAAAAGGCCUGACAGAAACGGUCCUGG